AGGGAAUCUUCCACAAUGGACGCAAGUCUGAUGGAGCAACGCCGCGUGAGUGAAGAAGGUCUUCGGAUCGUAAAGCUCUGUUGUUGGUGAAGAAGGAUAGAGGCAGUAACUGGUCUUUAUUUGACGGUAAUCAACCAGAAAGUCACGGCUAACUACGUGCCAGCAGCCGCGGUAAUACGUAGGUGGCAAGCGUUGUCCGGAUUUAUUGGGCGUAAAGCGAGCGCAGGCGGAAUGAUAAGUCUGAUGUGAAAGCCCACGGCUCAACCGUGGAACUGCAUCGGAAACUGUCAUUCUUGAGUGCAGAAGAGGAGAGUGGAACUCCAUGUGUAGCGGUGGAAUGCGUAGAUAUAUGGAAGAACACCAGUGGCGAAGGCGGCUCUCUGGUCUGCAACUGACGCUGAGGCUCGAAAGCAUGGGUAGCGAACAGGAUUAGAUACCCUGGUAGUCCAUGCCGUAAACGAUGAGCGCUAGGUGUUGGGGACUUUCCGGUUCUCAGUGCCGCAGCAAACGCAUUAAGCGCUCCGCCU
rnacentral:rRNA from 1 species